rnacentral:rRNA from 1 species
AGAGACAGCAGUAGCCGCGGGAAUACGAAGGGGGCUAGCGUUGCUCGGAAUGACAGGGCGUAAAGGGCGCGUAGGCGGUCACGAUAGUCAGAUGUGAAAUUCCUGGGCUUAACCUGGGGACUGCAUUUGAUACUGUGUGGCUUGAGUGUGGAAGAGGGUCGUGGAAUCCCCAGUGUAGAGGUGAAAUUCGUAGAUAUUGGGAAGAACACCGGUGGCGAAGGCGGCGACCUGGUCCAUAACUGACGCUGAGGCGCGAAAGCGUGGGGAGCAAACAGGAUUAGAUACCCCCGUAGUCCCUGUCUCUUAUAC